rnacentral:rRNA from 1 species
CCAAUAGCGUAUAUUAAAGUUGUUGCAGUUAAAAAGCUCGUAGUUGAAUUUCGGGAUCAAUAUGUCGGUCGUGCCUCCGGUACGUACUGGCGUCAUUGGUUUCUCCCUUCUGAUGAACCACGAUGUCAUUAAUUUGGUGUCAUGGGGAAUCAGGACUGUUACUUUGAAAAAAUUAGAGUGUUUAAAGCAGGCUCACGCUUGAAUACAUUAGCAUGGAAUAAUGAAAUAGGACGUUUGAUUCUAUUUUGUUGGUUUCUAGGAUCGACGUAAUGAUUAAUAGGGAUAGUUGGGGGCAUUAGUAUUCAAUUGUCAGAGGUGAAAUUCUUGGAUUUAUUGAAGACUAACUACUGCGAAAGCAUUCGCCAAGGAUGUUUUCAUUAAUCAAGAACGAAAGUUAGGGGAUCGAAGACGAUCAGAUACCGUCGUAGUCUUAACCAUAAACUAUGCCGACUAGGGAUCGGAUGAUGUUAAUUUUUUAAUGACUCAUUCGGCGCCUUACG